rnacentral:tRNA from 2 species
GCAAGCGUAGCUUAACUCAAAGCAUAACACUGAAGAUGUUAGGAUGGUCCCUAAGAAGACCCGCGAGCA